rnacentral:rRNA from 1 species
ACACGAAAGUGUGACAAAGCAAGCCAGAGUGCUUUUCCGUAAAGGAAAAUCUUUUGUGAGAUGUAAAAAGUCUUACGAAUAAGGACUGGGCAAGACUGGUGCCAGCCGCCGCGGUAAUCCCAGCAGUCCAAGUCGCAGCCACAUUUGUUGGGUCUAAAACAUCCGUAGCUUGCCUAGUAAGUCUUUUGUGAAAUCGGGCCUCUUAAGGGUCCGGCGGGCAAAAGAUACUGCUUGGCUAGAGACCGGGAGACGUAAGGAGUACUGACAGAGUAACGGUUAAAUGUGUUGAUCCUGUCCGGACUAACAAUAGCGAAGGCACCUUACGAGAACGGUUCUGACAGUGAGGGAUGAAGGCUAGGGGCGCAAAGUGGAUUAGAUACCCAUGUAGUCCUAGCAGUAAACACUGCACACUGAACAUUGGGGCCUCUUCGAGAGGUCUCAGUGCUGUAGGGAAGCCGGAGAGUGUGCUACCUGGGAAGUAUAGUCGCAAGGCCGAAACUUAAAGGAAUUGGCGGGGGGGUACUACAACGGGUGACGCGUGCGGUUCAAUCGGAUUCAACGCCGGGAAUCUUACCAGGAACGACGGCAGAAUGAUAGUCAGUCUAAAGGGCUUACUUGACGAGCCGAGAGGUAGUGCAUGGCCGCCGUCAGCUCGUGCCGUAAGGUGUCCUGUUAAGUCAGGCAACGAGCGAGACCUGUACCCACUAUUGCAACUGAGUCAGCAAUGAUGAUCAGGCACAUUGUGGGGACUGCCUUCGAAAGAAGGAGGAAGGUGCAGGCUACGGUAAGUCUGUACGCCCCGAAUCUCCUGGGCUACACGCGCGCAACAAUGGUAGGUACAAUGGGAUGCAACUCCGAAAGGAGAAGCCAAACCUCGAAACCCUACCUUAGUACAGAUCGAGGAUUGCAACUCAUCCUCGUGAAGUCGGAAUCCCUAGUAAUCAGAGGUUAGCAUCUUCUGGUGAAUAUGUCCCUGCUCCUUGCACACACCGCCCGUCAAGCCAACCGAGCAGGGCUUUGGUGAGUCUUAAUUUAUUGAUUAAGCCGAACCUAAGUUCAGUGAGGUGGGCUAAGUCGUCACAAGGUAUCCGUAGGGGAACCUGCGGAUG